GGAAGUGGUGUGCAUAUGUGCACCUGUGUGCAUGUGUGUGUCAGAGAGAGACGGGGAGAAGAGCGAGACUGGAUGGAAAGAAUCUCUCCCUGAGUGAGGGAGAUUUUGAAUCAUUUUUUGGGAGAUUUGUGUGUUAUUUUCCCGUUGUUUGUUUUUAGUUUUAAAAAUCUUCUCUAGAGCUAUGGAUGGCUGUGUCAUUUUUGUUGCUGUUGAGCUACAAGAAAAAUGCUGGCAGUUGUGACAGAUUAUUAAGCCAGAAAAAUUUCUUGAAGAAAAUAUCCUCAUCUGUUAUAUUCUGGGUCCUUCUGGAUUCUUCUUGAUAGUAGAAUGAGCUUUCUAGACUCUACAGUAAGUUAAAGGGGUACCUUUUUUCACAUUCACCAUUAAAGUUCUGCAGCCAGUGAAAUUGCCCAAUAUGCUGUCCCAGGCUCAUAUAGGACAGUAUAUGAGUGAGUCAUUAACAACACAUGGAGUUACGCAUUCUUGCUCCUCCUUCGUCUGGUGCACCCCACAUCUGUGAAUGGAAAGUGUCUACAGGACUGUGGUACUCUCUGGAUGAAUCCCACUGCUCUUCCGUGGAGUUGCUUCCGGUGGAGGGCAGUCAACACCAUCAUUCGAGAUGCUCAGCACAGGCACAAAUGUGUAAAGCCAAAAGUGAAAUGAGAUGAAUCCGAAAGGCACUGUGCCAGAAUGAGAAAUACAGCAACGAUCAGCUGAAGACCUCCUCCUGAGGAUGGAUGGAAGCAUGCCACAUGGAAACAGGAAGCCCAGGACUGGCUGCAGCACACUUACUGGCCACAUUGAAGCACUAUCUUGAUAAUGCUUAGGAUCUUGUGAUCCCUACUCUGUACUGAUUUUAUGUAAGAUAAAACUGGGAUGAUUUCAUCCUUGGUCAUGUGGACAGGAGCGAAGUGGAUGACAGCAUAUGCCAUUUCAGAUGUUUGCCUAGGUGAUGGCCUCUUUUUCUAAGGACUGCUCCCAUCUACCCAUGAGGAUGGACCCAGGAGACAUGUCUGCAUUAUUCUGACCUUGACCAUUUCCCUGGUAUGGUCACGUGGAUCAGGAAUGGACACUUGGCCUAAGCUGGGUAGUUUAGAUUUUUUUUUCCUGGGAAUUUGGAAUUGGUCCUGUGAGAGCUACUCAAUUUCUGCAAUCACUUUAAUUAAAGAUACAUGAAUUCAGGAUUUUAGGGGUGGCCAUGCUUGGCUCUGUGUAUAGAAGAGUAUUGCAAAACAAUCCAGGGAGAAGACAGAAUUAAUUAUGAUGGGGGUGGAGAGGGAGGCAGGGAUGAAAGUCCAUCUAACUUGAGUGCAUGAGAGAGAGCAAAUUUAUUACUUAUUCAACUGUGAUUUGAGUGUCUACUCUCUGUUUAGACAUGUGGAACAUUGUGGUGUUGAGAUAUGCGAG
rnacentral:lncRNA from 13 species